UACGUAGGGUGCAAGCGUUGUCCGGAAUUAUUGGGCGUAAAGAGCUCGUAGGCGGUCUGUCGCGUCGGCUGUGAAAACCCGGAGCUCAACUCCGGGCCUGCAGUCGAUACGGGCAAACUGGAGUACUGCAGGGGAGACUGGAAUUCCUGGUGUAGCGGUGGAAUGCGCAGAUAUCAGGAGGAACACCGGUGGCGAAGGCGGGUCUCUGGGCAGUAACUGACGCUGAGAAGCGAAAGCGUGGGGAGCGAACAGG
rnacentral:rRNA from 1 species